UCUAUAGUAAUUAUAUAAGCGGCGAUCGACGAGCUACAGUGUUAAGAACAGUAGUUUUACCACUCCGUGCAUUUAUUCCGUGUUGAUUGUUAAUUGUCUUUUUUAUCCUUUUGGUUUCAUCUUUUGUAUCCGUUUAAAUAAGAAUAUUUUGGUCUUUAAUGUUAAGUUGUGUCAGUGAUAUUUUCUCCCCAGAAAAAUUUUAGGCCGCAAGUCCAUCUCUCAUUCUCGCCUUCGUCUUCCUCCCACAUUUUUUCUCUCAACUCAGACCCUCUACCAUCCAUUUCUCGCGGCCCUCCAUUUCUCUUCAUGUAGCUAAAACCCAAAUCGCCAAAGCUGUGAAACCCAGCCCCAACACUUGUCUCUCCCUCUGUUUCCAUCAUCUCCCCAACGCCUGUCUCUCCCUCUGUGAAACCCAAAUCACCAAAGCUGUGAAACCCACCACCGUACGAAGUCUGGUCGAGGACGACCUGGUUCAAGGUCCUGAUUCCCAACAGUUAUUAGAGCCAGCAAGUAACUGCAAACAAAAGUAACCGACACUUUCCAGACACGCAGAUUUAACUUCUACAGCGAUCGAGCAAGCAAGUCAUGCAGUGGGGGUGUCACUCCCAAUUAUUCAGGGGUUUUCAUGGGGAUGGUAUUCGGGAUUGCAUUGAUGGCGGGAUGGAAACAAAUGAUGCGGUACCGGAGCACCAAGCGAAUUGCUAAGUGGGUUGCAGGAGAUACUGGAUGCGAUUUCGGAAGCGAAGGUGCUGGGCGAUGAUCACUAUUAUCAUGCGUGGGGUACACCUUGGGGUUAUGGAUACGAUGGCUCGACGAGGGAUUGGGACGACGUCGUGGCGGAGAUGUAGGAGGAGGUUUGCAGGGAAAGAGGUGGUGACGAGAUGGAGAGGUUUUGUGCGCAGAGCUUUACUAGGGAACAAGUUGAACAACUUGACAAGAACAAGCAAUGGUCCAGGGCACUUGAUGGUUCUAAUUACCUCCCAGGAAUGGUACCUAUCUUUGGGCUGUCGAUAUAAAACUCCUUGGAUCCCUUAAUCGGGAUGAUUUGAAGAAAAUUUGCGGUGAUAAUUUUCCUGAAUGGAUAUCUUUCCCCGCCUUUGAACAGCACAUAUCUUAGUCGAAUUAAAUGAUGUUUUUACAAGAUGGAAAUCUCUUGGGAAAAAGUGGGAUUAUGAAAGCUCUAAGGUUGGGCUAAAAACCUAUCAAGUGGAAAGCUGACAGACUAUUGAUACCAGAUACGGUGUUCAAAAAGUUCCUUUGCAUAAUAAUUUGUUGAUAAGAGGUCAUUGCCAACCAUUGACAAGGUCAAGGGAUAUGGUGGAAGAGAUGUGGAAGUCAUGAAGAUUGCACAUGAUUGCAUACAGAAAUCAUUGCAGUUUAUACAUGAAAGAGAAAUUUCUCACCUAGAUGUCAAACCUUAUAAUAUUUAUGUAAAGAAUGGUGUUUAUAAGUUGUCAUUUUGGAUGUGCAAUUCUCACGGUAAGAGCUUGCAAAUUGAAUAAUGAUUUUGUAUGUUCAAUUUAUGUAAAGAAUGUGUUUUAUUUUCUGUUGUUCAACUUAAAUUAGUUUUAGUGCAUGUUGUUAUGAGAUGAUAAUGUCAUCUUCCAUUUCAAAGAUGUUACUGUUAUCUGUUUUUGCAAAAAUAAUUUCUAUAGAAUUAUUUUA